UACAGAGGGGGCAAGCGUUAUUCGGAAUUAUUGGGCGUAAAGGGCGCGUAGGCGGCUUGGCAAGUGGAUGGUGAAAUCCCUCGGCUUAACCGAGGAACUGCCGUCCAAACUGCUUCGCUUGAGACCGGGAGAGGUGAGUGGAAUUCCCAGUGUAGCGGUGAAAUGCGUAGAUAUUGGGAGGAACACCAGUGGCGAAGGCGGCUCACUGGACCGGUACUGACGCUGAUGCGCGAAAGCGUGGGGAGCAAACGAG
rnacentral:rRNA from 1 species